GGGGUUGUGGCUUAAAGGUAGAGCAUAUGCCUAGUACGCAUGAGGCACUGGGUUAGAUCUCUAGCACCA
rfam:Ictidomys tridecemlineatus contig049964, whole genome shotgun sequence.